rnacentral:lncRNA from 1 species
AUGUUGAUUUGUAUCCAGUCUAGAAAAAUGCUAGUGGCAAAAUCUGUUUGUCAUUUUUUCAAAAUAUCAGUGGGUAAUAUUAAUAUUAAUAUUAAAAUCCUUCUACAUCCUCAGGUUUGGAUUUUGUUGUUCUUGUGGAAGUUUAAAUCUGACCUGAUAUUGACACUCCGGAUCAGUCUCUCUUACUGAGAAUAUGUUCUGACAGAGCUGAGAAUAAAAGGAAAUGAAGAGACAUUGAACUCCUUCAGACUUCAACAGCAAUGGGUUGAAAUAGUGAACAUGAUGUUCACUGAUGAACAGUUAUAAGACCUCUUUCUAUCUACUGCCUAUACAAAGCAGUAAUUAAAUAUUUCUAAUAACAAAACAGAGACAGAUAUAAUGAAUGCAUCAAGACUACAAAAGACACAUUGCAGCCUAUUCUAGUAUUAAUCCGUAAGUAUGUUAUUUAUCUCUACUAUACGGUUGCAAAUAAUUUAUCUGCACUUUUUAAAUGUCUGAGGUCUUCUUUUCACCUUUAAUUUCUUGUUAAUAGUUGCAGACAUUUCAGAUAAGUCCAUAUUCACUGGAAGUUUUUACUGUGAAUUGUACAUCAUUUUCAGUAAAUUAAUG